rnacentral:misc_RNA from 1 species
GCUACUACCGAUUGAAUGGUUUAGUGAGGACUCCUGAUUGGCGCCGCCGCCCCGGCAACGGAGCAGCGGACUGCCGAAAAGUUGUUCAAACUUGAUCAUUUAGAGGAAGUAAAAGUCGUAACAAGGUUUCCGUAGGUGAACCUGCAGAAGGAUCAUUCGCACUAUCCAAAACUUGUAGGUGAACCUGCAGAAGGAUCA